UCUUGCAAACCCACACCGAAAAAUUAAUCCCCGUCACUCCACGAACCGAUUCUGGCCACGAAUUGUCCGUCUUCCCUCUUCAAUCUCCAUUUGCGCUCCGAAUGCCAUCCGUCGGCAUCCAACUCUCCAUCUCCCUCCGUGGGCUAUAAAACAAACUUCUGAUAGCGCCAUCUCGAUCCCCUUUCCAUAUCCUCUCAAAACGCUCUCCCAAUUUCACUUGACCGCACGCUAUGGCAGGUGAUAGCAUCAGCCCUCCCCCACAGAAACACCAGCGCUACCUAGCAGGAAAAACGCCAUGGCUGCACUAAUGGUGCUCAGCAUGUACGGCUGGGGAUGCGUCAGUUCCUCUGCUCCAAAACGUCCCGGAGCACGCUACUGGCUACUGCGGCCGCGAAGGUUCCUCAUCUAUGUACAGGUCGUGAUGGGGAACGAUGCUCUCGAUGCCUAGUCCGAGCACCGCUAUAUGACCAAGCUUGGAGAAAAAAGUCGCAAAAGGAUGCCCUCGAUAGAGGGAGAUGGAAGAAGAUUACAAAUAAUGUAUUCUGCAAAGCUUGUGGAAUAUUUCGUAGUGAAUUGGGCAAAAGUUUAGGUGGUCUCUUUGUGGGAUCAAGCUGAUAGUCUCCGCUGGAACCCACCGAAAGAAAGGAAUUGCUCAGCGGGAUCGCCGAACGAGUUCCGCUCCGUAAGCAUCCCGACACCUCCCAUGGCCACAAGGACUUUGUAAACAAAUUCAAAAUCAUCAGGCAGAAUAAGCUAGCGACUGAUGCAUAUAUACCGGUGGUUCUUCCUUUCUUCACUGCCAUUUUCAUAGGCCCUCUACCCCUGUAAUAAUCAAUGCAUGGCUGAUCAAUGUACCUAGUGUUCACUGAGUAAAAAAAAACUGAUCCAUUUCUUCAAGGCCAGGCGGCCAUUUUGUAUGUGUUGAGUAUGUAAAAACUACUCCGUAUUUGAUAGGUGGCACUGUGGGUGAAGUUCUAAAUCUGCCAUGUGCACACUUUAUCUGCCAAUCCUGGAAUUAAUUAUUUUUACAUUUCAA